rnacentral:rRNA from 1 species
GACGAACGCUGGCGGCGUGCUUAACACAUGCAAGUCGAACGGAAAGGCCCUGCUUUUGUGGGGUGCUCGAGUGGCGAACGGGUGAGUAACACGUGAGUAACCUGCCCUUGACUUUGGGAUAACUUCAGGAAACUGGGGCUAAUACCGGAUAGGAGCUCCUGCUGCAUGGUGGGGGUUGGAAAGUUUCGGCGGUUGGGGAUGGACUCGCGGCUUAUCAGCUUGUUGGUGGGGUUGUGGCUUACCAAGGCUUUGACGGGUAGCCGGCCUGAGAGGGUGACCGGCCACAUUGGGACUGAGAUACGGCCCAGACUCCUACGGGAGGCAGCGGUGGGGAAUAUUGCACAAUGGGCGGAAGCCUGAUGCAGCAACGCCGCGUGCGGGAUGACGGCCUUCGGGUUGUAAACCGCUUUCGCCUGUGACGAAGCGUGAGUGACGGUAAUGGGUAAAGAAGCACCGGCUAACUACGUG